rnacentral:rRNA from 1 species
UACGUAGGGUGCGAGCGUUAAUCGGAAUUACUGGGCGUAAAGCGUGUGCAGGCGGUCUGUUAAGACAGGUGUGAAAUCCCCGGGCUUAGCCUGGGAAUGGCGCUUGUUACUGGCAGACUAGAGUGCGUCAGAGGGGGGUGGAAUUCCACGUGUAGCAGUGAAAUGCGUAGAGAUGUGGAGGAACACCGAUGGCGAAGGCAGCCCCCUGGGAUGACACUGACGCUCAUACACGAAAGCGUGGGGAGCAAACAGG